CUGAAAAAAUUAUUAUAGCAAAUCAUUCCUGUUUGUAAAUAAAAUUUGAAAAUUGAAAAAAAAUUAGUUUGCAGAUAUGAUUGUUUGACGAAAAAUCUCAAAAUGUAACAAAACAAAAACGCUUUAUUGGCGUAAAUCAGAGAAAUUUGGGCUUUCCGGUUACCACCACCAACACGCGGAUGAUCAUCGCGAUAUACUAUUCGUGGAUUCAAUGCCGCGGAAAGAACUAGUAAACUAUCAAUACGCAUUAUCAAUCAACAUCUUCGAUUUAUUCAAAUAUAUACUAAAAUUUGCAGCAUUCUGAAUGAAGUUCACUAACGGAUCUUGAGUACGGAUUCUUUCUUGAAUAGACCGCAGAGCUCUAAAUGUCUCGAUUUGGUGAAAAUAAUUACAUUAACACACUUCGUUUUGUAUUUUAUGUGCUUGUUUAUGUAGCGUAAUCCGAUUUAAUAUUCGCGUAUAUGUCUAUGUGUAUGUAUGUGGCUUUGAACUUUUUCAUGCUUUCUGCCACCAUAACUUAUGUAUUUAUUCAAACUAAGUAUUAUUUACAAGUUCGAAUAAAAUAAUCUUUCUGCGCUUACAAAACGCAUGUAAUAACUAUAUUUGGGCCUUUUAAAUGGGUUAACAUGAAUUUUUCUAUCAUGCUUCUACUGUGCGCGUGGAUUACACCAGUUUUAGAUUUCCAAAAGCCGUAACAAAUGUAUCAACAAACAGUUUACGAUUUCCUUUUUGUUUUCGUUCAGCGUCGUCGCGCACACAAAAGCGUUGUCUCGACUAAAACUGGUAGGUAUUCAAAGUGAUUGUCAAAACAUCUCAUCAAUAGCCGCAGCGGCUCAUAAAAUGUGUGACAAAUGGAUCGCGCUCGGAACUCAUUAGUUGAUAUAAUGUUCUAUUUACAUAUACAUUUAUAAAACAUACAUACAUACAUUUAUGUCAGAGUAUAUAAAGUUACUAUUUAUGAAAACGACAGCUUGGUGAAAUGAACCGAAGGCGACACUAGCUUCAGAGCCACCAUCGACGACUCAUUAAACGACAAUAAACACAAAAGCGCAACAGGAAGUUUGAUUCUCUUUGAAAUAACCAAAUAUUUACAAAACAAAAUGUAAAUCAAUGUGCCGUCCAAAGCGGGCAUUGUAUCUGUACGCCGCUCGGUGUAUAGGUGUAUCGUUGGCAUUUCUGGUGAUUGGCAGUAGGUGCGGUAGGUAGAACAGAGAGGGAUGCCUAUUUGUAGAUGAAUGAACCAAUAAAUGUUGAAUGAGCCACAUUUUCAUGCAAAUGAAUUGGCUAGCACAACAAUCACAGCAACAACAAACGAGCGUCACUGUGGCUCGAGAUGCUGGGCGGCCAAAAGCGCGUUUGUAUCGUCGAAUUGUUUCGACAUGAGCAAUGCAAUUGUUGGAAACUACCGAACAACCGAACUCAGUGAAUGAGUUUGCAUGGGCAGACACUUUGCUGCAGUGGUAGGUGCAUUUUAUGGUGGUUGAAUGGUGAAUGCGCAUCGUAAAAUCAUGGUGUGGGCUCUAAGCCGCGGUCGUUGCACACAACGAUUUCUAGAGAAUGCUAAUCCAAAUGAAUAGCUUCCUUAAUGGCCCAGCCGCUGAACGGCCGGCUGCUCGGCACUUGGUAUAGUCGUUGGCCGCAGUGCCAGAACUCCGAUCAUUUUGGUGUUUCGAAAACUAGAAAAGUUGCUUAAAUAUAUGAAAUGUUAUUGCAAGUUGCACACAAAACCAAAUAAGACAACAACAAGUGCGGCACAUUCGAAUAUUGCUUGUAGCAUGCACGUGUUGGAGGUGUGAUGCAUAUAUCUGGAGUCAUAUAUGUUUGAAUUCGUAAACACAUUCAAGCCUUAGACUUUGUCUUUUUUUGUGGAACGUAAACACCGCAAGCAUACAGCAUACAUGUGUCUAUUUACACACACACGCAUGUGUGUCAAAUGACAAUGUGUGCGCAUGCGCGUUGUUGCUGCUGACAUUGAGCAUCGUCAUAAAUUUGCAGCUUAUUACCAAUAAUUUCAAGUGGCUUGUUAACAAUUUAACACGUCUUAAUCGUAAAAUUUGUGGUGCUGUGUCUCCAAAAUGCGAAGUAUGCCAAAAUGCGGGGAUAACAACGGCGACAACAAGCUCAAAUUGCUUGAAUAUAAAAUCAUUGCUGUUUGACAGUUUUGAAGGUGUGAAUACGUGAAUUAAAAUGCAAAUACAAAUGCAAACGCAAUGAAUUGCAAGCACAUAAAGCGUCGAGUUCCCUUAAGCAAAAGCACAACAUCACAGAGGGCACAAUUUGGUUGCCACAUUUGGUUGUAAUAUGCAGUUUCGUGUCGGAGCUCAGUCGAAGCCUUCUAUAAAU